rfam:Eubacterium ruminantium strain ATCC 17233 genome assembly, contig: EI46DRAFT_scaffold00002.2
CCGUACAGCCGGGGAGUUAGCGGUGCCCUGAACCUGCAAUCCGCUAUAGCAGGGGUGAUGGCUGGCCUCGGGUUGAAUACUGUAGGGCUGCCCUCGGUAAGUGAUGUUGAUAUCUGGGUCUUACGCGACAGAAAUCUAUGAACCGUGUCAGGUUGGGAACAAAGCAGCACUAAGUAGAAACUUCUGGGUGACGUGAGGUUGCCUGGAUUGAGUUAACUGCUGAGGUAACGCCUAUUGGUUCAUCACAAAGCCAGCCGUGCGG